rnacentral:lncRNA from 1 species
UGCCCUUAAUAAAAAUUAGGUCUUUAAUGCCUCUUUAAUGCUUCUUUAAUGCUGAAGGGUCUUUUUGGAAAAAAAUAAAAAAGGAGUGAUUCCCACCUCAUGGGAAAGUAACUUUCCCAUGUUUCUCAUGGGAAAGUGUUUCUCAUGGGAAAGACUUUCCCAUGAAAUGUGGGAAUCAUAUUCCCAUGGGAAUACAACUUUCCCAUCUCUCUCCUUUGAAAACUCCAACCAAACAAGAGGCAUUUCAUUACUUUUCCGUUGACCACACUUUCCCCCCUCCUUUUCCUGCGAACCAAACGAGCC